rnacentral:tRNA from 1 species
GGUCGCAUCGUCUAAACGGUCAGGACACAAGACCUUCAAUCUUGUAAUGCGGGUUCGAGCCCCGCUGCGAUCA